AAUUGCAAUUACAUGAAUUGCCAUCUUGGAGCAGACCAGUAAACUAAUUGAAAUAUAUUAUCCUCCCUCCAUCUGCAGGCCAGGCUAGAUGAUUCUCAGGACAGUCAGGCUGCAUGCCUGCAGAAAUGCAUAUUUUCUAUCUAUUAGCUCAUUGGCUACUUACAGAGAGAAGCCCGUGUUUUACUUUUGUGCCAAGACACAAGAAUCUUGUACUUUCAGUUAAUACUACAUUGUUGCUGCUGAAGAACUGGAAUCUGGGUGCAGAAAGUUGUUCUGUUCUCUUGUCUUGUACUAAACAAAUGAAUAUUGCAGGUUGUAGAGGUUGGGAGAGAGACAUCGUCCAGUCUAAUCUUGUUUCAUUUAUUGAUUUUUCUCUGUAUUUGCUUUGGUACAGCUAGAAACACACAACCCACCCAGGCUCCCAGUGUGCAGUUCUCUUCCCACUGAGCUCACUACUAGGAAGGGUCACAAGAAACAGGAAAAACUGAAAACCCACAGAAAGCUCUUCGUUGAAACUCAUUGUACACAACACUCAGGCACUGCAAAGUAUAUAUUUACUUUUUAUUAUGGACAGAUAGGAAAUCUUGAAAAGAUGAGCCACCUACUGACAGUACAGAGAGCCUGAAAUAAUAGCUCUCAUGGGUUUGAGUUCCCAUUUCGACAUCACACUGAUUCCUGCUGCGGAGCCCAUCUCAACACAGCGCCCUGGAUGAUUUCUCCAUCUCCCUCUCAACACUGUAUUUCUACAAAUACAGGAUUUUAGAAAUGUCUACAGUCACAGUAUGUCACUGGUUAUAGGAAACACCUCCUUGGGUGUGUUAAAGGCACUGCUCUGCAGCCAUUCAGCCUUAGCCACAGUAUUCAAUCGUUUAUUACUGUGGGUUAUAUCAUCUGCUAUGUUCUACUUUGCCAGAUUUUUGUUCUUAAUCAUGUCGGUCUUUCUGCAUGUUGUAUCUGUGCAAUCAAAUGCAUGUCAUUUACACUCUUCCUAUCUGAAUUGAGAACAUGCAUUUCAAGCUUUUAUGUAUCCAAGCAAAGUGAGCAAAGGAAAAACCACAUGUUAGUGACUACCGCUUUCUGUGUCUCAUACAAAAGAUUUAUCUUGAUAUACAGUUUUGUGUUGGUUUAAACAGGGAAGUGACAUUUAAAAAAAUCCACUUUGGGGGAUGUUAUUGAAAGAACUUAAAUGCAUGUUAUGAUUAACUUGCCAAAGCUACUAGAAGUAAACACAUGCUUAAUGUAGACUAGAACGUCUUCACAUAAAACUCUUUCCCACAUCCCUCUCCCUCCACCUCCCAAGUUCCAUCCCAGCCUAAGGCAGUAAAAUCUGUAGGGUGGGGGUUUCCUUAAACACAUUGUAUAUGAGAGUAUGUGACUUAUCAUCUCUGUGCCUCAUUUACAGUGAGACCUAGCAGCUGCUUCGCAACCAUGUGAUACAUUGAGCUUUGUAUAAUAGUUCACUUGAAGGUCUUUGCACAGUUCAGGCAUGUCAGCUGAGUACCUUCAAGCAGUGCAGGGACUUGUAAUUAGAGUGGCCUGAGGCUGCUCGCCUUUCUGAGGGGCUUUGUCUUCCCCGCCGAGCUCAGUGGUAUUCUGUUUCCAUAGGCUCACCAUCCCAGCACUCUGAUGAGGGCUCAGCAGGCGGUGGGGGGAUCCGAGGUAUGUCAGGAACUGAAGACAGGUAUGAAAGUUCAAGCCUAGACAAAGGUCUUAGUCAUUUGAACAAGAAGCAUGCAGCACCUUGCCUCUCUGCUGGAUCCCGCAGCAGGUAAAGAAAGAACCGCCCUGUGCUUUACCUCAGAGGAGUUAUGCCCAGGUCCCUUUCCAAAAUAAACAAUCCACUGUGUUUAUCUGUAAUGACUUUUGUCACUUUAAGCAAGUUGGCUGGUGCAGGCAUUCUUGGGAGGAUAUCAAAGGAAGAAACAUAUUGUUUUCUAAGUCAGCCUUUUAAAUGACUGCAUCACUUCUGAAACACUCUGAGCACUUUACACCCUGUCUGCAAUUUCCCAUCCAUUUUUCCCUGAGCAUUUUUGGAAGCAGAGAUUGAAGAAUUUGGAAGGCAUAGGUCUGAACUUCCGAUUUCUGCCUUUCCAUUUCUGUCAUGCCCUGAGAUCAAAGGGAAAAAAAUAAAGAAAAAGAAUGAACCUGAGAUUUUUAGAUGGAAGAGUACACUUUUGGUCACUCAAAUUUGCAAAGGCCCAUUGAAGCCCAGAGGAUUUUAAACAGCAAAUCAACAAGACUUUGCUAAAACAGCUGCUGUAAUAAACAGAUAACUUGGUUUUAAUUCAUAAAAGGGUUACUUUUGAUGGUUGGGGUAGGAGGAAAAGUUCCUCACAAGUAUAAACUGGCAUACUAUUUCCAUCUGUUACUUUCCUGCUCUGGAGUGCUCUGUAGUGGGUAUAAAUCAAUGUAUAAGAAAUGACAGGUCUGACUGUACGGAAGCUUAUUUACUUACUCUUGUACCUCUCUCUCAUGGCUCACUGAGGAAAAAAAUAUUUCUAGUGCCCACACUCACUGCUACAUGAGAAAAUGAGAUUUUUCCACAGAAGUCCAGAGAAACAUCGUCGUGUUGGGCUGGCGCUCAAGAGACACAACAGCCCUCCCUUCCUACCACCUCCUGUACACCCAUUGCCUGGCUGUACCUCCAUCACCUUCAGAGGGGUGGGAGAGUGGUGAGUGCUCACCAAAGUGACUGUGGGUGUCACAAAGGUGACCUCCUUUUUAAAUGAAUCUGAAGAGUUGUCAUUUUUUUAUGAAUGAAGAAAAAGGUUUGCUCUCAGUGCUGUCGGGAGACACAGAGCUCUCCUUCUUCUGAGGACAUCACAUGCUCAUAUUCACAACAGCAUAUAGCCUUUGUAGCUAUAUUUAUCUCUUUAAAAAAAAAAGGGGGUCAUGGACCACCCUUUAGCCCCAUGGCUGCUCAGGCUCAGCUGUCUUCAGAGCAGGAAGGUCUGGUGGAUUACAGCUCUAGUAGCAAAGGAGAUGCUUGGGUUGGUUGGAUUAAAGAGAAUUUGCUGCACCGCUGCAUUGUGAGGCUGGUCCUUGGCUCUGAGCAGUGUCCACCAGCAGUGUCAGCCAAUUGCCGUAGAUGGUCCAAAGGUCAUCAUGGCCUUGAAACCAUUCCCAGUAGGCCAGCUUGUCACAGCCCCCUUCUUCUGGUGGGAAUGUGAUGGGAAUGCUCUUCCUUGCCAGCUGACCUCAAAGCCAGAGACCAGUCGCAGGCACACUUAAUUACCAGUAUGCGUAGCGGGAGUUUGCACCAUUACAACUCAGAGAGCAACUUUGGGUUUCCUCUGGACCACAGGGUAUUCUUGUGACUCUAAGACAUAACUAUCAUGUCACUCUUAGUUAUUUAGUUUAAAGUAGCUGAAAUAGUUGAGGGCUAUGUCGCAAGCAAAAAGUCGUGGUUUUAUAGCACAGAUUGAAUGGAUAUGCUACAUAGGCAAAUGGGAACAAAUUGGGCAUGAAGAGCACUUCACAGUGUAGUGUCUGCUGGGAUAGUGCUGGAGGAGUAGAGAAGGUGGAGGGAGCCAAAUGUGGUGCCAUCUUAGCCAUGUUGUCCUUUGGAAGUGGUCCCUGAGGAAGACUAUCCCCCUGCUUCCUCCAACACAUGCACCAUGGUCUGCUGCUGCCUUUGCUGCACCAGCUUGCUGCUCUUCUUGCCUCUCCUGGUGUUGUGUCUGCCCCUGCUACCCUGGCUCUGCCAUGACCUCCACGGAGCUGGGCAGCACUGGACACACAGGCACACCGCAGGCACACAGACACACCGCAGACACACAGGACUCCAUUGAGUUUCCCUCACAGUUGUGUGAGCUCAGCCCACAAGCUGGUCUCGGUGGGCAAUACAAGCCUGACAUCAGGAUUUUGUCUCUGGCACUCUGAGUAACAGCUGGGUUUGCUUCCAGCCCUAAGUUCCAUGUAGCUGUGGGUUAAUUGCUUGCUAGAGUAAAGCUGGCUAAUUUGGUACUAAUUUUGGAGUGUCUACAUUGUGUUUUUGUCAUGGUAGUCUAAACAGGCAUAAGAAACAUUCAGCAAGCUUGCUUGGGCUUUUCUUCCUCCUUUAGAAACAGCAGACUAGAAACAACCCAAACCACUGCAACUGUUUAGUUAUAUCUGGGAUUUGGAUACUGUUAUUCACUUACACUAAUACUAGUUAUUUAUAUCCACCAAUAGUACUCAGUAAUAUUGAAUGGAUUUUGGCCCCGUAGCUCCCUUGUAUAUUCAAAAAUAGGGAAGCCUGAUGAAAAAAUUUCCCUGCCUGUCCCUUAGGGUUUGUAACUAAAAGUUUUGACUUUGGACUUUGCAUUCUCUUUAGUAUUUUGAAAUCAGUAUUUCCUUUAAUUAACCUGAACAUUUUGGAGCUUACUCAAUCACCAAAGAUAUCAGAAUAUUGCCACUUGGCCAGUUUUCCUCUUAGAGAUAAUAUUUUUUGAAGAUCUACAUAAGCAUCACUGAAUUGCUUCGUGUUUUUCAGUGCUCUUGGAAAUGAGUGUUGUAUCAAACUCAUCACAGAAUUAAGCUUGCUGGUUCCCAGGCACAAGGCUGAUCAAGCAAGCUGGCAUCCAGCUCAUAUUAUUUUAACACUGAACAUGUCCAUGAUUGUGCUCUAGCUGGUGUCAGCAAUAAAAUCCCAUUGAUUUAAAGGAAAGUAGGAUGGGGCCCAAAAUGCUAAUUCUGUUGACUUUCUUAAUGGGCUUCAGUUUAACUCUACAGCACUGAAGACUAUUUUGUUUCCUAUGGCCCAACCUUAUCUCUUUAUCUCCAUACUCCAAGUUUACAUGACUCCGUUUUUCAUCCCAUCAACAAAGAAUUAUGCUGAAUUACGGCUUUGUUACUAAAGGGAAAUUGUAUGUUUGAGGUAUUUUUUUCAUGAAGCAUUUUGGCCAAGUGGAUGAGGUAUUAAUAUGAGAAACUAUAAACAUAUCUUGGUUUUCUAAACUGCGGAUAGAGUGAUUGGCUUAAUUUGUUUCUAUACACUGCCAUCUUGAAAACUAAACUGAAGCAUCCAAAUUAAACAGGAGAUGUAAAUAUUAGCCAGAUGUUCCCUGGUGUCAGAACUCUCUUUUGUUUCUUUCUUUCUUUUUUUUUUUUUUUCUAUUAAAUGGGUACACAUUUUUACAUCUAACAUAGUGACCUAUGUUUUAGAUUUUGGUCCUGGCCUAAUGGCUUUUUAUCAUAUGAUUAUGAUAUCAUCCAAUCAUGUAAGCGUCAUGAGAUGCUGUUCAGCUUUGCUGAAGCACAUGAGUGUCAAACUGCUUAGUUUAGGCUGAACCAUUUGUCUGACUGUCUUAACAUGGGGAGUGAAUGUGCUGUUAAUUUAGGAAAUGCCAGCUGAGGCUGAGGGUUUAGCGAGCCAAGCAAAACAGAGCACUGACCACAGAUUGAAACAUUACAGAGUUCCUUAAUGGUUCUGUCAAAAAGAAAUAUAACGCUUUUUCCCCCCCUUACAGAAGUUGCAAUAGUCUUCUGGUGCAAGUAGCAACCAGUAGGGUUUUAACAUUGAUAAACAUGGACGGAAAAGACAGGCACUUGACUUAGCUUUUGGUUAAUGCUUUUUCCUGAAGACAUUUGUUUGAGUUUGAUGAUAGUGAAGCUUUUGGUUCCAUUCCUCACAUUUUAUAUCACUUGGGAAAUGACCGCAGCUACCAGCAAAUGAGGAUUUAGCAGAUACAGAUGGCAGAUUUUCAAUAUAAUUAAAAUUCUAACACUGACUUUAUGGGUUUAAUGCAAAUAAACAAAUGAAAA